rnacentral:rRNA from 1 species
GACGAACGCUGGCGGCGUGCUUUACACAUGCAAGUCGAACGGCAAGGCCCUGCUUUUGUUGGGUGCUCGAGUGGCGAACGGGUGAGUAACACGUGAGUAACCUGCCCUUGACUUUGGGAUAACUUCAGGAAACUGGGGCUAAUACCGGAUAGGAGCUCCUGCUGCAUGGGGGGGGUUGGAAAGUUUCGGCGGUUGGGGAUGGACUGGCGGCUUAUCAGCUUGUUGGUGGGGUAGUGGCCUACCAAGGCUUUGACGGGUAGGCGGCCUGGGAGGGUGACCGGCCACAUUGGGACUGAGAUACGGCGCAGACUCCUACGUGAGGCAGCAGUGGGGAAUAUGGCACAAUGGGCGGAAGCCUGAUGCAGCAGCGCCGCGUGCGGGAUGACGGCCUUCGGGUGAUAAACCGCUUUCGCCUGUGAGGAAGCGUGAGUGACGGUAAUGGGUAAAGAAGCACCGGCUAACUACGUG